ACGGGAGGCAGCAGUGGGGAAUUUUGGACAAUGGGGGCAACCCUGAUCCAGCCAUGCCGCGUGUGUGAAGAAGGCCUUCGGGUUGUAAAGCACUUUCGGACGGAACGAAAUCGCGCGGGUGAAUAUCCCGCGUGGAUGACGGUACCGUAAGAAGAAGCACCGGCUAACUACGUGCCAGCAGCCGCGGUAAUACGUAGGGUGCGAGCGUUAAUCGGAAUUACUGGGCGUAAAGUGUGCGCAGGCGGCCGAGCAAGUCGAGUGUGAAAGCCCCGGGCUUAACUUGGGAAUUGCGCUCGAAACUACUUGGCUGGAGUGUGGCAGAGGGGGGUGGAAUUCCACGUGUAGCGGUGAAAUGCGUAGAGAUGUGGAGGAACACCAAUGGCGAAGGCAGCCCCCUGGGCCAACACUGACGCUCAUGCACGAAAGCGUGGGGAGCAAACAGGAUUAGAUACCCUGGUA
rnacentral:rRNA from 1 species